rnacentral:lncRNA from 1 species
CUUACAUCACCUUAUGCUCUCAAUCAGCAGAAAGCAGCAGUGGAAGUGAUGGACAAAGAAUUGCAUAAACAUUGCAUAUAAACUUCAUAAUGAAACCAAUACUCAACCUGGCCUUGCAAGAGAUUAUCUUCCACUGAACAACAAACAGCAGAAAAAAUGUCAUCCUACAUCUGCCUGUGAGGGAAUUACUUUGAGGUCCAGUUAUAUUUGUCCCAGUAACUCUGCCCACCAAGUGAGCCAGUUUCCCUCAAAUGAGGAUUUAAAGGAGGAACACAGAUGUUGGCUCUGGGGUAAGCUAAAACAAGACUGCUAAAGAAAAUUCUAGACAAUUAGCAGUGUUGCAGACUACUUCAGGAGUGAACCUCAAAGGAAAACAUGGCAAUGGGUUUAUAAAAGUGAAGUUACUGUCCUCCAAUGUUCUCCUACAGACAAUUCCUAAUUUCCAGUGAAGUCAACAGGAUUUGCAAGCACAUAAUAUAUCUCAGGACUAGACACUGUAUUCAAAGCUCACCCUAUCUCAAUAGAAUGCAGCCAUUUCUGGGAUGAGACUGUUUAACAGAGAUAGGGCACAAAAUGAAGCUGGACAGCAAAGCAGAAUGUAGGCAAGGCAGAGUGCUUAGUGUUCAGUAUUCUGGAAUCACUUCUGAUCACAAAUCCUGUAUCUCUUUAAGAUUACUUAAGGACACAAAAAUAUAUAUUUAGGAAUAGAACCAAGUCUCUGCUUUUUAUAACUGAAAGGCAAUAUGAAGAAAACAUCCUUGCCAUCCUCUGUACUAAACUAGAGUCACUGAAUUUGCAAUUAAAUGACCAUUUUCUUCUUCAUCUCUCUGAUAUGCUUAAUGAGAAUAAUCCUCUCCCAAGAAAAUUCAGUCUCCUGAAGCCUUCUCUCUUGCAGGAGAAAGUUGAGAUGCUCCACAGCCCAUAGCUCUACCAUAUAUAUUCUUUUAGUGGAAUAAGACACGUUUCUAGAUCAACAACUUAAGAAGCCAAUGAAACAUCUGUGUGCCAACAUUAAAGUC